UGUGUAUCGAGCGUAACACGGCCCCUCUCCCCAGCUGCGUUACGUAAUAAAAGAACCCGCUUUAAAUGUUAAACCCGUUCCUAACUCCGACAAUGGUUGAAGGGGUCGACAUUCAGCUAUGUCGGCGUCGACCAGAAUUUUAUGAGAAACGUCAAAGCCAAACAAAAAUAAGACAGAAAAGUGUGAGACUGAAAGUUUUUGUGCAGUCGGAUGACCACCGGGAAAACUAAACCUGAGGACCGACUGGAAGGAGGAAGAACCGCAAAGCAGCUGAUGAUGAAAACCAUUAAGGAACCUGUCACGUAAUUCCUAAACGAAGAUGUUUCGAAAUACCUGGCCAAAAAGCGGUUCAGGAAGAGUGCAUUUAGGUGAGAAGAUAGUGUGCUCCAAGACUUCAAAUUACGGAACCGCCGGAAGUACGCCAAAAAAUAAACGCGACCGCCCAAUUCGAUUACAGCGGUGGUGCCAGAAGAAGUUCUAGUCCCAGCUUGGGGGAGAUCCUUCAAAAUUGAUCUCGAACGUUUUCUGAAGUUCGAAUUGAUUCUUUGUGAACAUUGUCCGCGCGUAAGUCACUUCCUGCAACUUCUUUCCACUGCGCUGAGACACUUUCGAAUCAAGAGCCAGCCAGCGAUGACGAUGCCAAAUUCGACUACAGAUCUGCACCAGUCGGUCAUUUUUAAUGUUCUUGAGCGUAGGCAACUUUCGGAGAGCAGAGCAAUAGCAGCUAGUAGAUUUCAAUCUGAAUGAUCAGUAUUUGUGUGUGUGUUUUAUUCCACCGAUGUCUGGCCAUCUAAGACAAAGUCGUCUUAAAAAGAAAAUCUUCAACUCUUCGAGAUCCUUUGCGAGACGCGUCACAUGAUUACAACCUUAGUAAAGCUUAACUUCA